ACAUAGGGUAGAAAGGGUUUAUUUGGGCAGGCAUUUCCAGGUUAUAGUCAUCAUCAUGAGCAAUUGCAGCGGGAGGUGCUUGGAGAAGCUGGCCACAUCACAUCUGUCGUCAAGAGCAGAGAGCAUGCCGGAGCUCAGGACCUCAGGGGGCACCCCAACUCCAUGAUUGCUGAAAUGUUGAGAGGCCUGAUCUUGUGAAAGUUUUGUGAAGAUGACUCACGGGUAUGCAGUGUUUCUCGGCAUACAGAACACAGAAUUAAACAUCCAGACUUUGAACACCAUGGGAAUGGCUGGAGUUUAUUCUGAGAGGAAGAAGGAACUAUUGGCCUACUAAGAGUUGAAUUAUGAGAUCUUACUUUAACUUCAAGAGAAUCUCUCAAAUGCUGCAGGACGAGUAGAGAAUUCUCCCUUUUGGGGAAGUAGAGGAAUGAAAUGAGACCAAUAAGGAGCUGUUUCAAAGUCCAAACCAAACCUAGUGAUGUUCUUCAUUAGAGA